rnacentral:lncRNA from 1 species
ACCCCCCGCCCCCUGCCCUUCUCGAGGGCAGCAGCAGCGGCCCGGAGAAAGCGCUGGCGCGGCUCAGGCUCUGCCUAGGCAGAAACUUGUGACAUCUUGGCAGUCAGCAUGGAAGUGUGCUGGGGGAGAUGCACACUUUUCCUGGCAGUGAAAUGAGCUCUCUGGACUCAGGCACACAGAAGGCUGCUAGAAACCUGGGUCUCCAGCUCUCCUGUGCCCAUUGCACAGCGUAGACCCGCAGAUCGCCCUCGGGAAAGACAGAAUGCUCUGACCCCAGCACAAACGGACAUCCACGAUAUCUCCACUCUAAUUAGUAGAGCAGAGGAGAGAUGAACAGAGCAGAGGCCCGAGCUUUUCUGGUCAUAUGCCACAACUUUAAAGAGGAUGGUAUUCCUCCAAAACCUCCCUCAACUCCCCAGUACUGAAGCAAACUCUGUAACAGCACAAGUGCGGCUAGAAGAGAGAAAGGAAGAUUUCAUGCAAUUGCAGGGCGUCCACAGUGGGUCCUCCUCCAAGGAAGGUGUUAAAAAUAUAAGUAGUAUGUUUAAACUGUCAGGGAUCCAAAGUGUCACAUUAGGGCAAAAACAAAGCCAGAGGGAAAGGGAGAAAUCAAAAACCACUUCGGGCCAGGGUGGCCUCAUGCAUACCAAUGGUUUUUGUCAUUUAUGGCUGGGCAAGAUUUAUGACUCGGCGCCCCAAAGCUGUAAACAGAGCGCAAAACAGCAAACACUUGUUCCUUAUGGCAUAUUGCAGCGGUGCAACUUGAAAGGGGGAACCGGGCCGCGUAGGAGCUAA